AUGAGCCAUUCGCAGUUUCACUAUACCGGCCGUGCGUACUUAGACAUGCAUGGCUUAAUCUUUGAGACAAGCAUAUGCUACUGGCAGGAUCAACCAGGUAGGAGCGCGAGGGAGCCGGGAAGAGGCCGCGCACGCGCGCGCGCACACGCGCCGAGGCGGCGGCGGCGGCGGCGGCGGCGACCUCUCGCGGCACGGGCCGUGCGUGCCCGGGCGCGGGGCGCGCACGGAAGGCGGCGGCGGGCGGCACCCCGAGGCGCGGGGGCGGGGCGAGGACGGGACGGACCCCGCCGCCCGCCCCCGGCCGACGAGGACGCGCGCGCGGCGGCGUGGAGGAGCGGGGGGCGCCCCUCGCGGCGGGCCCGAUUGACGGCCCGUGAGCGGGGCCGGGGCACCCAGGCAGUCGCGUCGACACUGGCCGGCCGGACUGCCCGCACACGCCCCCGCGGGCCGAGAGCCGGACCGAGGCCCGACCCCCCGCCCCCAGGGGUGGCGCGGCGCGCCGGCGGCCGGUCACGACGGCUGGCCGGGACCCGACCCGCGCUGCGACAGACACGCGCGCGCCAGAACGGGGCGCCGCGGGGGACGGUCCCCCGCCCGCACGCAACAUCGCCGUCGCCCGGGCGGCGGCGGCGGACACGGAGGAGGCCACAGCGGCCCCGGGAAGCGAGUCGCGCUCGGAGCGGGGCCCCGGUCGGGCAGCCAAGAACAGGCGACGACGGGGAAGGGCUCGCGAGAAGGCCGACGGCGGCGAAGGCCGAGGCGCCGGAGAGGCGGUGGUGGUGGAGGAAGGGCCGGCCCGCCGAGAGACGCGCUCGGGGCGAAGGAGGGAAGACAGAACCUCCCGAGGCAAGUCGGCCGCCGGAGCACACACGGGGUCUCACCGCCAGGGGCCUCCAGCACCAGGGGCGGUCCCGCAGCGCCCGGAACGGCGACUGGCCCCGUCGCCCCGCGCGCAGCUCACGGGGGCUCGGCCCCACCACCCACCUCCACGGCCAGGGCUCUCCCGCACACGGCGCCGGCGUCCCACGCCGGGCGCCUGGCGCACGGGCGCCACCCAACCGGAGCCGAGGGCACUUCGCCCGGGUCACCACCGGCCUCGGUGGCCGGAGGCGACACCCGCGCGGCGAGGCCCAUUUCGGUCCCGGCCGGUGGGCGGCGCGUCCAGGCGUCUGCCCGGGCGGGGCAGCACCGGCGGCAACGGGGAGCGCGGCGCGCGCGCCUCGAACGAAGGGAGCGCGGCUCGCGGAAAGGCUCCCGGGGACGGCCUCGGGCGCGACGGGCCACCAGGAAAACACACGCGGGAUCCCACCGCCAACGACACGCGAGGGCGGUCCCACGACGCCUGGGACGCCGGACGGCCUCAGCCACCCUUCGGCCUCCCGCGGGCCCGGCCCCACCGCCGGGGCCUACGUGAGGCGCCCCCGCCGCCGGGGGCCGCCCCGUCCACCCAGCCACCCGUCUGCCUGUCUGGUCUGCUCCGGGGCCCACGUCCCGAGGGAACGCGCCCGAGAGCGGCGGCGGCCCCCACCCAUGCCUGCACGCCACCACCGGCUGCGGCUCGGGACGGGAGCGAGCGGAGAGCCAGCCGCUCGCGGCAGGGCGUGACCCUCCCCCGACUCGGAGGGGGGAGGCGCCGGCCGCGGUAGGCAAAGAGCGGCUCUGCCCACGCGCCACGGUGGUGGCGUCCGUGGCUACUACGCGCAGAGGAGGGGCGGCGGCUGGGGGGUCCGGUACCCCAAGGCACCCUCUCGGAUCGCUAGAGAAGGCUUUCUCACCGAGGGCGUGUCGCCCCCGCCCAUCGUCCGCCAUCGGGCCCACCAAGGCGCUUACAGACACCAUGGCCACACAACGCAGGAGGGGUCUGCGGUAGAGACACACCAGCGCAGCGGUCACCUGAGGAGGGCGACGGGAACAGGGAACGACACCGCCACUCGGCCUCGGGCACCUGAGGGACGACCUGGAACACUCCAGGGGCACCGCCAACGGCCGGGGGAGCGCGCUCACGCGCCCAAGAAGGCGCGCGGCACGGCGGCAACACGGCCCGCCCCA
rnacentral:lncRNA from 1 species